rnacentral:rRNA from 1 species
UACGAAGGGGGCUAGCGUUGUUCGGAAUUACUGGGCGUAAAGCGCACGUAGGCGGAAUGUUAAGUCAGGGGUGAAAUCCCGGGGCUCAACCCCGGAACUGCCUUUGAUACUGGCUUUCUCGAGUCCGGAAGAGGUGAGUGGAAUUCCGAGUGUAGAGGUGAAAUUCGUAGAUAUUCGGAGGAACACCAGUGGCGAAGGCGGCUCACUGGUCCGGUACUGACGCUGAGGUGCGAAAGCGUGGGGAGCAAACAGG